rnacentral:tRNA from 1 species
GGCGGAGUAGUUCAGUUGGUUAGAACGUUGGAAUCAUAAUCCAACUGUCGGGGGUUCAAGUCCCUCUUCCGUCA